ACAGAUUUUUCUGGAACAAAGUAAUAUAAACGUGUUCGGGACGCACGUCUUUGGUAACAUUAAUUACCUCUAAGUAAUUGACUAAUUUUAGUGAUUAUUUUAAUAAACAAUAUUAGCCAAGAGUGCAACUUGUGCUUUCGCGAUUACAGAAUUUUAUUUGCUGAAUUGUCUUCAGAGGCAAGGCAAGAAUUUCAUCAAACGUCCGGAAAGGCGGCGGUCUUCAGGAGGAGCACAUGAUCUUCCCUUCCGAAGGGUGAAUUACACACAGUUUUACUGUCUUGAAGACGGGGUCGCAUAUACCCCUCACUCUGGAUGAGCGAUCGAAGUUCUGAGCCUCUCUUCCAAGACGGGAGGUUCGUCACAAAUUACCCGGAACGAUGCCUUGCCAUUCCCACUCGGCUAAUGGCUCUCCUGAACUCCAGCUGCUGCGGUUGCUGGCCAGCCACGCCUCCCCCAUAACAUCAUUGAGGGCUGUAGCGCGGAACCGGCGCUUUCCACGGCGUCCAGUAUAAUUGUAUUUGAGGAUCAAAUUGUCCUCCAUGAUGGACGUCAGUGGUACCCUCUGCUAACGGGAGAAAAGAGACCGAAGAAACCCCAGAUACUCUUGACGAGUACCCAAGGUUCUGAGCCUCUCCUCUAAGUGGUGCAUGUCCGGCAUUGGAGUUGCCGCAUCUCCCUCACAUACUCUUCUUCGGAGCUGCUGCGGUUGCCGGUCAGCCACGCUUCCCUUAUGACAUCAUUGAGCUCUGUGGCGCGGAAUCGGCGCUUUCCACGACGUCCAUCAUAGUUGUAUUGGAGGAUCAAACUGUUCUCCAUGAUGGACCUCAAUGGGACUCCCCGCUGUCGGGAAAAAAGAGGCCGAAGAAAUCCCAGAUACUCUUGGCGUGUACCCGAGAUUCUGAACCUCUCUUCCUAGCGGUCCACGUCCAGCAUUGGAGUUGGUAGGUAGGUGGAAACUGCAGCAGCACCGAAGCGGUGUAUGUGAGGGAGAUCGGCUGGAGUUUAGAAGAGACGUUUGUUGUGAGGCAAUGGGGGGUUCGUUCCGAAUUACCGGGAACGAUACCUAGCCAUUGCCUCACAACAAACGUAUCUUCUAAACUCCAGCCGCAUCUCCCUCACAUACUCUGCUUAGGUGCUGCUGCGGUUUCCUGCCAGCCACACCUUCUCAAACUGGAGGGUUAGUCACAUCGUCCUCCAUGAUCCAUCUCAAUUGGAUUCUCUGCUGACGAGUUUUCAUCAGGCGCUCAUUACCUUGGUGAUCCAUUUUCUUGGACUUCCUGGCACUUGUGAAUCUCACGUUUUACUUGCAAAGCUUUAAAACUUGAAUUACCAGCUAAUUACCUAAAAUUGAAAAAUUUAAAAAGACAUGAAUGCUUUUUCGUCAGAAAAGAGCUUAAAUUAGUUAUCUUCUAGAAAUUUUCCCAGGAAUGUGCCGCAAAAAAUAUUUAAGUCUUGUUUUUCUUUAAUUAAAAACGAAAGAAUCACACAGAUGAUACCCCAAAAAUCCCAAUUAAAACACAUUUUUUUUACAUAAUUUUAAAAAUGUAUUUAUUAAACUUGGAGACUUUAUUAAAUUGAAAAAUG